GGGCGUGGAGGGGGCGCCCGCGUGGGGUCGGCCGCGGCCGGGCAGAGUUGGCGCGCCAGGGCGUGGAAGCCGCCGGAGGAUCCCGCCUGUCGCAGCGGGGACGCGUGUGGGCCCCUGCUCCCAGGCCACUUCGCGCGCGCGCCCCCCACAUCCUCCUCGGGACACUUGUCCCUGGAUCCUCUACCCCUGGCCGGCCCGAGGCCGCCUUCUCGGGAAGCCCCACCAGCCCCCAAGGGUGUUUUCCCUUGGCUACCUGCGCUGCGAGGAGAGAAGGGAAUUCAGAGAAGGGGUCACACUCCUUCAGCUUCCCCGUUUCUGAAUCCCAGGUCUAUCCACGGCCUUCUCAACAGAUGACUUCAAGUUGAUUUCGUGCUUUAUUUCUUAAGAAUAGUGACUAACCUAAGGGAUCUGAUUCAAUUUAUUAGGAACACAGUGCCACCUUCCAAAAUUACUUACCUAAGAGGACUGAGCCUGCUGUCCCUGGAGCAGUUAGCUAAAACAGUGCCUCAGUACGGAGCGUACCUGUGUUAACUUCUAGAGUGCUGUUUCCGGCAGCUGCUGAAAUCCACGCUGAGGUUAUCAAGCUCAUCCUACAAAAUAAAGCAAGUUCUUCGCAAUUUAAAGCAAAAAUCUGGGCUUAUUUUUAGGGUUUUGGGGGAUGUGAAAGUUGUCUUAGAUAAGAUUCCAGGAAAGCUAAGAACUAACGAUGCAAUUACAGUCACCUUUCAACAACUUUGGGGAUUGGGUUGAGGAAGGUGUGAAAUUGGGAAAUAUAAUAAAAGGUAUUAUAUUAGUGACUUUCUAGAGUAGCCCUUGGCAGUCCUGUCUUUAAAGAGUAAUAACUGGAAAAAAAAAUGAAUGAUAAUACACUGCAUCCAAGAACCUUGCCUCUGGUGAGGGUAAUUUGCAAACGCAUUUUGGGAUAAUGUUCAGCAUUCAAUAUAAUCUUCCCUGGAAUUAGCAAUGCCUUUUGGGUCAGAGUUUCUUAGGUUUCUUCAGUCAUACAAUUAAAAUUGUUUCUGGAUUAUAUUGCCCAUAUUUGUUUCUAAUUCUCCAUUUUGCCUGUGUUUUAACUGCUAGCGAUUAAUAACUGCCAUAUAAUAAGCUAAGCAUUUAUUAUGUUUCAGGCACUGUUCUAACUGCAUUAAAAUAAUAUCUCAUUUAAUUCUCAUAAAUUUUGAGAAAAGUUUUAUUAUUCCUAUUUUACAGUUGAGUAAACUGAGGCUUAAAGUUAAGCAUAUUGUCCAAGGUGCCUCCACUCCUUAGUCAUAAGCUAAAUUUGAUCUGAGUGACUCCAAAACCUGUUCUCUUAAUGGUUAUGCUGAAAUGCCCUUCUUAGAAUGAUUCCUCAGGAAGUCAAAUGCUAGGUAUAUAGUACAACCACUUUGGAAAACUGGCAAUAUCUGUUAAAGUUAAACAUAUGAAAACCCUAUGGCCCAGCAGUUCCACGCUUAGGAAUAUACCAAUGUCCCAUGUGUGCCAAAAGACUAUUAAAUCACUCAGAGCAACCCUAUUCAUAAAUAACCCCCAACCAGGAAACAACCCAAAUGGUCAUAAACAGUAAAAUAGAUAAAUAAUUGGUGGUAUAUUCAUACAACAGAGUACAUUCUACCACACUAAGAAUGAACAAUCUGCUUCCAAAUGCAGUAAAAUAUAUGAACCUUACAAAUGUGCUAAGUGAAAAAAGGGAGAUGUACAAUUGCGGGACUCCAUUUAUGUGAAGUACAGAAACAGACAAAAGUCAUUGAUGCUAUUCAAAGUCAGGAUAGUGGUUACCCUUGAGAGAGAGCUGAUGACUAGGAGAGAACACCAAUCGGCUUCUGGGGAGCUGGUAGUGUUGUUUCUUGAGCUGGGUACUGGUGUGUUCAGUUUGUGAAAAUUCAUUGAGCUGUACUAUUGAUAUAUGCAUCUCUGUGUAUGUAAAUUAUGCUUCAAUAAAAAGCUUUAAAAUGCUGUGUAUAUAUAAAUGCAUAUGAGUAUUGCUUGUGUACAUAUGAGUACCUAUAUAAUACUUCGUUUUUU
rnacentral:lncRNA from 1 species